ACAAUUUACUCUUGAUAUUGCGAGAAUAAAUCACCCCCUAUACGGAGUAGUUCUGAUGGAAGCAGGUAAUACUUCGGGCAUGGCACAAACUGCAGAAUACUCAGGCGGGAAUCUUGGUUGCCCUAUUCUACCGCUUCUUCAACCGUUCACUCCUCCAUCUGCAGUAGCCACGUUGGGUGAUGGCGAAUUUCAUAAGCAGCUUUCGUUUGUUCUUCAGAGAUAACUAUGAAAGUCUACCUUAAACAGCCAAACAUGAACCUCCCGUCUAACAUGAAUGUCUUUGUUGUCGUACAAUACCAGUAAGAAUGACGGGGAGGCAGAGGGUUGAACUUAAGAUAGCCAAAGAUGAGCGGGUUGCAUCUCUUGUUCCUGAUGAAUACCAGAUCGCCUGAUACAGAGAGUGAAGGA
rnacentral:sRNA from 2 species